ACAGUUUACAGUGCAUCUGCCACGUUGCUGUACCCAGCCUUGUCCCUAGCAGUCUGAGUCUGUGUGUCUGCCCCUUUGUAGCUAGCUCAUCCUGCCGAAGGCGACCCUGGGGCCCGUGCGCGGGGGCCGUGGCUCACGUCCAUCUGAGAUGACCCAGAUGGCAGGCAUGUUCUUGUUGCCCUCCAUCAGGCAGUGGAUCUCCUCCGCCUUGACCAUAGCCUCCAGCUCAGCGUUGGUCUCUGGACACCAGUCCACCUGGAACUUGUCCUUACACUCCCAGGGGUUAACCACCUCCUCGUCAGGCUGUACCCCAAACAGAUCCAGCUGACAUGCCUGUUCCAUGGCUUCAGAUUGAGGCUACAAAGUGUGAAGGUGAACUGAAAGCCGAGUAUCAAUGGAGCUGUGGAGGACUGAGCAUUUCCCCCAGACAAAACAGGAAACACAGAAGCUAUCUACUCUGAGCAGUACAACUCUGUAAGAGCUCACAACUGAAGAUGCACACAUACUGUACAUCACACGAACAAAAGCUUUCCCCUGAUCCGGGUUAUGAAAAGAGUAUGUUUGUACUGUUAAGUGUAAAUGCUACAUUUUCAUCCCAUUUGUAAUCUUUGUGAAAGCACAUAGGAUAGCAAUGUGUUUCAGUGGGAAUGAGAAAGCUGAAGGGAAAUAACUUGUAGAGUAUUUCCAAAUUCAUAUGACCCUAUUAUUAUUGUCUCUGAUGACGGAGUAUGAGUGGCUGUGUGGAUUAGCCAUCAUGAUGCAACACCUCCGACUGGGCUAGAACACAGGCAAGCUACUGCCAUGAUAGUGCUAAACGACACCAUUGUGGUAUUGUCUCAAUGUUAUUACCUAAGCCUUUAUUUUAAUUUGAGAUUAAAAAUAAAUGCGAAUGACAGAGCAGAAAAGUGGCUUAACAAUCUUGAUUGACAAAUCAGGUUCUGAUUUCAGAUCCUUAUCAGAUCAUUCUGAAUUAAAGAUACAUGUGAAUGGUUCACUGAGCUUAGGGGGAAAAGUAUUACAUUAUCUUGACAAUUUAUUAAUGUAGCUUCCAUGAAAACAAUGAACAAACUAAAACAUGGCACAAUGCACUGUAAUAUUAUUAUUACACUGCCUUGUCAGAGGCCAAUAAUCACUGGCAAGAG